GUAACAUUGAGAAUCUAAUAAUACACGCGGCAGUGAGGCCUGGCCCGAGGCGUAGAAUCGCCGCUGCGUUCAUUACCUGUCUUCGUGUGUACGAGGCGAAAAAGUGAAGAGAGUGAAUUUUCGAGCGCGGUGAGGAUCAUCAUCACCGGUCCGCGUUAGAGGUGCUCACGACCUAAACUAAAAAUACGUUACGGGGUCCGAUCAACGGCCAACUGGGCCAGUGAAGUAAUCGCAGCUCAACGUCCCAAAUAUAGUCCGACAUCUGUACAUAUGGACGAGGAGUGCCGAUAGUUGGCAUCCACGACCAACGUACUACAAGAUCGUUAACAGUAUAAUAGCGGCUGUCACCACGAUUCUUCUUUCGAUGACGUCUAUUGUCGUUGGAGUAGCGACCAUCUUCUUGCGUGGUUAAUCUUGUUGUGACGCGACCAGGGAUGUCUUCAGGGAUUUCUGAAAUCAUUUCAAUCGUGUUAUUUCUUAUUUAAAGGAUAGAAUUUUAAUUUGUAGAUAUUAUAGAAGUAGAGAAAUAUUAUAGUAUAUAUUUUCAGGCGAAUUGAAUAUUCUGAAUUAGAGUAUGAUUUUUCUUUUUUUAAGUGUUUGUCGAUUGAUUAAUUUUUUGUGUAAAAUGAAGAUAAUAUUAUAUCGGUUUGAUUGGAAAUUUUUUCACCUGUUUUAAGAGGGAAUAUAUGUGAAGAAUUUGGAAGAUUUUCAUACAAGUGUUGAUUCGGAUCUAAUUUUGGUACGUCUAAUUUGUAUCCUUGAAAUUCGAAAAUUAUCGUUCGAAGAUGUCUCAUACUCGUGUUUCUAAGCUACGUAAUAUUUUCUUUGGAGGCUGCAUUAUUUUCAGAAAUAUGAAUCGAUCGUCCAUGUUGUGACAAUAUUUUAUUCUAAGUAAACCAUGUACGAACACAGCGCCUUAUUUCCCUGAGGAUAUAACUUAUAAUUUAUUGAAGCUAUUUUUUUCGUUGAUAUUAACAAAAGUGUCUCAAAAAAAAUCUCAAUAUUUAAUAUUAACAAUAACAACAAUAAGUCUAAAUAUCUAAUUAAAAUAUUCUCCACAUGUAGAAAUACAAGUUUAUCGAUUUUUAUCGAUUUAAUUAUCUCUAAUUAAAUUGAAUCCAAAUUCAGUGAUUUUUUCUAACAUUUCAAAUUUGUAAAUUUUCUUUUAAAUUUUAAAUUUUCAAAUUUUGCAAAACGCCUUAAAAUUAAAACUCCACUGAAGAACCCGAAAUCAAUUUUUCGUGGGAUCUCGAGAUACGAAUCGUUGCCAGAAAUUUAAUUUUGCAAUUUUCGUUAGCAUCCUCGUGGACAGAUCAUUUGCCAGAAAAACUUAUACUAUCGUACGUUCGCUUUAAUUCGAUCCACGACGACACGUGCGUAUACUUAUAAAUAAAUGGCACGCGAUUGUUUAUACGUCGAUACUGACUGACGACAUCAUGAAAGUGGUCGUGAAUGUUUUGCAUCAGAUGUCUGGUUCUGAGUCGCGACAUAUUAUAUACAUAUUAGAAUCAUUUUAAUCCUCGAGAGAGAUAGAUCGAGCAAAAGAUGCGAUGAGAAAAGAGUUGGAAGUGUAGGAUUGAUUUUCAAGGAAAAUUCAAUAUAAAUAACGUGAAGAAUUUAUGUAUAUAGGGUGAAUAAAAUAAUUUUAAUAAAUUUUAUUUAAAUAUCUUACUUAAUCUUCUAAGGAUAGAAAGAUAUUGAAAUGGAAAUUGGAAUUUUGUAGUAGAUAAAUAUAAUUGAUCAUUUUGAUAAUUUAUUUUUAUAGAUAAACUUGUUGAAGUAUAAAAAAAUUGUUUUGUUAGGUGAAAUUGGAUAAUGGUAUAUAUAUCGUAUAAACAUUUAUUUUGUAUUUAAAGUAUUUCUUGAUAUUGUUGAAAAACAAAUUGUGAAGUUAUGAAGUUACUUUAUUCACCCUGUGUAUGACCCUGUUCUGGGUUAGCAGUCUGCUUUUUUUUUGCUCUGACAUAGGAUAGUUUGAAGGACGUUCAUGGUGGUUAUCAUGGGUAAUUUAUUUGGAGGAAAAUGAUGAGGAAGUCUUAUUUUCAUAUUGUUAAGAAAAAUAAUAAUAUAAUACUUUUUAAUUUUUAAAGAGUAUGAAAAAGAAAUAUUGGAAAAUGUAUGAAAAAAAGAAUAUUAUAACAAAAUAUAAAGAGAAGCAUAUUAAAAGGAUAGUAAUAAAGAUAGAAUGAAAAAAAAAUGAAAAGAUAAUAAUAAAAUAUACUUAAAAAAAAAAAAUCAAGAAUAUAGAAAUACUUUUAAAAAAAAUAAUUAAAAAAUUAUUAAUUUUCUUAUAAAAUCUGAUUUUUAAAUAUGUUUAACAAUUAAUUUUUUUUAAAUUUUGUACAUCUAUAUAUUUUUUACCAAAUUUAUUUUAAAUCACGAAAUUCAUUCUCUUUCAUCAAAUAGCAAAAAAAAAAAAAGGAAACGAAAGACAGUUUAUGACAAUAUGACGAAUUCCAUAUGAUUAACUACAUAUGAAACAGGAAAAAAGCAAAACAGAAAAAAGAAAAAAGAUACGAACUGAGUUAACGUAACUAUUGUUGGCGAAGAAUCAGAGAUUACGUUUAGAAGAACAGUAUUCGAAUUCGUUUAAACAGAGAUAUUUGCAGAUUAAAUUUAAAUCUUCAACAAAAUAAUUUUUCAUUAAUUACGGAAAUUAUUCCUUCCUUCCUAAUUUAAUUGUUUAAAAAUCCUGAUAUCAUUUAUAAAUCAUAUUUUUUUAAUACUAAUUAAUUAAUUAAAAAAAAAAGAGAACAACAAUAAUAAAAUAAAAUUUUUCUUUUCUAAAGAGAAUAAAAGAGAAAAGAAGGUGAUCUCUUUCUUUCAUUACACGUGCGACUCAAUGAAAGCAUAACUCUAUUUUUAUAUCGAGUAAGAAAUCUGUCUACGAUCAAACACGUGGUCGCCUUGAAUAUCCACAUCCUACGUUUAACCCUAUCUAUUAUUUUCACUCUCUUAUUAACUCUUUAAAUAGUAAUUUUUUUUUUUUUAAAUGAAGUUCAAUAAAGUAUAAAGUAAUUUUAGUAUUCAAUAGCAAUCCAGCUCCCUAUUAACCCUUAUAACGACGACAAAUAAUUUGAAAAAUUAUUUAUCACAAAUUCUAUUGUACUCUAAAAAACAAUAUCGACAAUUCUAAAUAUUUUUCCUUGUUUCAUAUAUAUAAAUUUUGAAUAAAAUUAAAUAUUGAUCCAACAUUUCUCGUAAGGCAAAGGUUUAAAUUAUUAAAUUACAAUUAAAUUAUUUAAAUAUCAAUAUUCUUAUCAAUAUAUCAUUCGUCUCAAAAUAAUAUUAUCGAAUAAAGUAUACACAAAAUUCGAACGUCGCAAAAAUGAGGGCUGGCAAACGUUGGCGAGGAUAGGGUGAGAGGGAGCUGCACAAGACGAUCGGAGGACGAAAUGGUAGCAGAAACGACAGGUUUCGAGCAACGGAGACGUGGAGGAAACGCAGAAAACUCUCAUCUAUCAUGUCGGAACGUGUUACAAGCGAAAAUAGUCGCAAGGAUACGCCGAGGUCGGACUUGGCGAGCAACGUGGACGGGAUUGCCGGCGUCAAGGGUGCGGAUUAUCAAGCGUACGCACCAACUGCUGCGACACUGUCAUCGUUGUCACAGCGUCGAUAACUUCACGGUGUUUCCCUGGAGAAUAUCAUUUUUUAAAUUUAAAAUUUAAAUGUAGAGAUUUCAAACUUUGAAACAUUUUUUUUUUUAUUCGAGAACUUGAAAGUUGAGAAAUUGAAUAUUUUAAAAUUAUCGCAAAUGAGUAAAUAUUUCGAAGAAUAUUGUUUUUAAAUCUUCAGAAACUUAGAGGCGAAAAGCUUAAUUUUAGAGUUUAUACAAGGUAAAAUCAAGUUGAAAAUGUGACACAAAGUUCGCAAGAAGGUCAUAGUAUAUCAGGUACACGUGCACUUAACUCCGAUAUAACUUGUCGAAUGACACGUUAGUUAACUAUGAUGUGUUUAUGUGCAAAUUUUACGAGACAUGUAAAAUAAUUACUGUUAUUAAUAUAAACUAUCAAGAUGUUUUAAGUUAUCAGCAAUUUUCUGGGAAGAAUAUUCAUUUUAAAGUGUACCAUAUUAUUAACCGACAAAUAUAACUUAUUGCAAUAAUUUAUUAUAAAAUAAUGCUAUUAUUAAGAAUUUGCUUCAAUAUUUUUUACUUUAAUAUGAGAAAGAGAAGGAAAAAUAUUAUUUAUAUAAAAUAUUAAAUUAAAUUUUGUUUCUAUUCCGUUUUAUAAUUUUUAGUUAGUUUCACAAAAUGAGCUCUACAAAUUGUAUAAUUUAUUGAACUAUUUUUAUCAAGAAACAAACUAUUUAUAAAAUAUUAUGAAAGUGUUUAUAAAUAGUUAACAAUACUAUAAAUGUGGUAUAAAACAUUUAUUAUAAAUAUCCGAGUGAAUUCGAAUGUGUCAACGCGCAAUUUCUAAUUUAAAAAAAGAUUAAAUGAAACGAAUUUCUAAAUGAGAAUUGUCUUAAUAUUCCUGUUACUUACCUUUGAAGUGACAAUCUCAUUUUACGUCAUCCGUUAUAAUAGAUAUUGACAUUAGGAACUGGACAGGUGUGUUCAGGAAAAUGGUUUCAUUUUUCAGAGAACGAAUGGCACCAGAAGAUGACUGAAUUAAAUUAUUACAGCAUUUAAUUCUGAAAUAACAAAAAAUUUUCUUUAUUAAAUAUAAAUUACAAUAUAAGUUAGAGAAGAAUUAGUAAUUCUUAUAAAAAUUCCAUUAAAAAAAAUAAAUAGAUAUAAGAUAUCCUUUUAAAUAGGAACGUUCAUUGACUAUUCGAACGAAGCAAAAACCCAUUUCAGCAAGACGAAUGUGCUCAGGAGUAUUUAUAAUUCCGUGCUUCUUGUAAAACGUUGGAUUAUUUUUGUGUGCUUUCAAUGAUCAGAGAAGACGUAACGUCUGCUAUCCUAAGAUAUGUAACUUGCAUGAAAAUAUUUAAUAUAAUAUAUAUUUUUAAUAAAACAAAAAUUAAAAAUAUUAAUACGAUGUAAAACUAAGAUAAAACAUAAAUACAUUAGAAAAUUGUUUCAUGCAUAUUUCGAAAGAAAACUUUUAUAUUAUUUAUAUUUAAUUAACACGUAUAAAUUGAUAAUUCAAGAAGAAACGUCAUCUUAAUAGAUACUGACGUCUCGAAAGAAAUCGUGAUGUCAUGAUAUAUAUCCUUGAAAGAGACGCUAUUAUGGCCGGUCAAGCCUACGCUCUAGGCCAGGGGCUAGGCUAGGCUAUUUCCGCUAUUCAGCUUAUGGACAAAAAUAGUACUAGAGAGCUUUCGAACGAAAAGCUGCUGGGACCUCUGGUGGUGUCCCUCCGGAGAAAGACGAUUUUUGUACUUCCAGAAGUACCUCUUCAGAAGUAAUUCUUCAAUCUGCUAUCCAUUUCUUGCCACAAUUACUUUAAAAACAAAAUUUUCUCUCAUAUUUCUUCAAUUUUCUCUCAUCAUGUUUCUUCUAAUUUUCAUAUUACUGAUUGAUAAUUGAAAUCUUGGACAUAAUGAGAAAAAAGUUUGACACUUUUUAAAUUUAUUUUUACAUUACCGACAUCACAGAAAAUUUUCAUAUUUCUAACCUCACUUUCGUAUAAAAAUGUUCAUAUUCUUAAUUAACUUUAUAUAUUCCUCAUUUUUGUAAUCUAAAAUACAUAUAAUCUAAAUUAAUUUGAAUUAUAUUAUAUUUUAUAAAGUUUAGUAUAUAAAAUUUGAAAUAAAUAAAAAAAAAAACAAUUUUCCUGUAAUUCUCCAUUCUCCAAACAAGUAACAAGAAUCCACAUUAUUCAUUAUUCACAUCGAAGAACGAAACGAUUAAAUUUUCAUCACCUUAUUUAACAAUCUGUUCUCGUUUCGAAAUUCUGAUUUAAUUAUGCAUGGUUGCAAGGGACCGUUUACCAUUAUUUCGGUAAUUGGCGCGAGCAAUUAAUCUCGGCGCACCCACGUAAUCGCGUUACGUCGGCGCAUGCGCGUGCCUUUUUCGAAAACGAUUUUCUAUUUUCCACUGUGGCGAUGCGUGCGACAGGUGCUUGGCCGAUGCCAAAGCGAAAUCGCGCACAGGCUGCCCCACACCGUUGCUUCUCGGUAGAAUACUACGAUUUCUCGGGUGCACGGAUUUCGAAACACGUGAGAGACCAGAGAACAUGGGUAUUUUCAAUCGUCUCUUCUUUUUGCUGGCAGUACAACCCGACCAAGCCGCCUCUUGUCCUGGCCGGACCGAUAGGUGAAGGCGAUUGGAUCGAGUCACCUCUCGUAGUAUUUUUGGGUGGCCACGUGAUAUCAUUUUUCAUUUUUCGUUUUUUUGUACGGGGAAUAAAGUAGUUCUCGUUACCAACCAAUUUUUUUCUUUUGAAAUUUUAUUCAUUCAUUAAUUAUUCUGUGAAAUAAGAAAAUGGGGAAUUUUAAUUUGGAAAUACAUAUGGAAAUGGUAGAAGAUUCAGAACAGAUGAUGGUUUAUUUUAGGUGAGCAUGACUGAAUCUAAAUAUCUUAAGUUGAAGAAUAUUUCUAUGAAAAAAAGAGUGUCAAGAUUUCAAUGAAAUAAUUUAUUGAAAUAUUUAAUUGUUGUACAAGUUAGCAAUUUCUCUUCUUUCAAUCUUCACUUAAGAAAAGUAAGAAGAUUGUAUUUAUCUUUAUCUAGAAAUAUAUGAGCUAGAAUAUUCAUAUUAUAAUAUAAUAUCUGCAAAAUUAGUGAUAACCAAUCAAACCAUCUUUCUUCGCUCUUUAUCUCUUUAAGUUUGAAAAUAUAAUUUCAAAAAAAUAAUUGAUUUGGAAUAAAAUAGAAUAAAAAUUAUAUUCAAUAUAAUAAAUUAUAUUAUAAAAUAUAAUUUAAAUAGUGAGAAGAUUAAUUAAUCUUGAUUUCCAACAAAUUCUAAUAAAACAAAUAUAGCCUACAAUAAAAGAAGAUAAUUAACAGCAAUUACCAAGAGAAUCCUAAAGAAAUUAUAGGCUUCAUACGGUUCGUGAUAUCGAUGUUCAAUAAGAAGAGAAAAUAGUGAAUUUAGUUAACCUAGUUCCAUAGACCUCGUUCCUGGCGCUCGCGACCUUUACAUUUAUCGUUGAAUCCGGAUCCAGAGAGACACAGAAUGAGAUCCACCUCGAGAGCUGCUCCACCUGCCACCGGAUACCAGUGUGACCAGGCUGACCGUCCCGCAGUACGCCUACACGAAUUGCUACUGCGUUAUUUCGAGUGUUUUAGCCUUGGGUGCUGGCCAGAGAAAACUUUUGAAAUAUCGAGAAGCACUUGGUCUCUUCCUCGGCCAUCAGGAUUCUGUGAUAAGUACAAAGUAGCACAAAGUGAUCCGCGCGAGUAACUGCAACUAAAACGUGACGAGAAGAAUAUCAUGCCUCUUCUCCUAGGAAUAGGAAUUUGAAAUCGUUUUAUAUUUAUUGAAUCCAUCAACGGUGACAUGAUUAAUAAAGGAAUAUUUUCUUGAAGAUUUUA